CCUACGGGCGGCUGCAGUGGGGAAUAUUGCACAAUGGGGGAAACCCUGAUGCAGCGACGCCGCGUGAGUGAAGAAGUAAUUCGUUAUGUAAAGCUCUAUCAGCAGGGAAGAAAAUGACGGUACCUGAGUAAGAAGCCACGGCUAACUACGUGCCAGCAGCCGCGGUAAUACGUAGGGGGCAAGCGUUAUCCGGAUUUACUGGGUGUAACGGGAGCGUAGACGGCAGGGCAAGUCUGGAGUGAAAGGCGGGGGCUCAACCCGCGGACUGCUCUGGAAACUGUACGGCUGGAGUGCAGGAGAGGUAAGUGGAAUUCCUAGUGUAGCGGUGAAAUGCGUAGAUAUUAGGAGGAACACCGAUUGCGAAGGCAGCACACCGGCGCUCAACUGACGCUCAUGCACGAAAGUGUGGGUAUCGAACAGGAUUAGAUACCCUAGUAGUC
rnacentral:rRNA from 1 species